rnacentral:rRNA from 1 species
AGAGCGAACGCUGGCGGCAGGCCUAACACAUGCAAGUCGAGCGCCCGUAGCAAUACGGGAGCGGCAGACGGGAUAGUAACACGUGGGAACGCGCCCUUCGGUUCGGAAUAACUCAGGGAAACUUGAGCUAAUACCGAAUACGCCCUUACGGGGAAAGAUUUAUUGCCGAAGGAACGGCCCGCGUCCGAUUAGCUAGUUGGUGAGGUAAUGGCUCACCAAGGCUACGAUCGGUAGCUGGUCUGAGAGGAUGACCAGCAUCACUGGGACUGAGACACGGCCCAGACUCCUACGGGAGGCAGCAGUAGGGAAUCUUGCGCAAUGGGCGAAAGCCUGACGCAGCGACGCCGCGUGCGGGAUGAAGGCCUUCGGGUUGUAAACCGCUUUCAGCAGGGACGAAAUUGACGGUACCUGCAGAAGAAGGCCCGGCCAACUACGUGCCAGCAGCCGC